GUGGUUUUCCUGCCCAGCCCUCCGCCACUGGGCUGUGGAGCCCGCUGCUGCAUUCUUGUACGAGAGGUGUUUCUCCUGUCCAACCUGACACCACUGGCCUCUUUCCCCGAAAACUGGGCACAAACCAGAAAGUGUGGAUUUGUGUGGAGCACACAUUGAAUGGGCCAAGGAAAAAUCGAGCAGAAAGAAUGUCUUUCAGAUCACAACAGUAUCAGGAAAUGAGUUCCUUCUACAGUCAGAUAUUGACUUCAUCAUAUUGGAUUGGUUCCACGCUAUCAAAAAUGCAAUUGACAGAUUGCCGAAGGAUUCAAGUUGUCCAUCAAGAAACCUGGAAUUAUUCAAAAUCCAAAGAUCCUCUAGCACUGAAUUGCUAAGUCACUACGACAGUGAUAUAAAAGAACAGAAACCAGAGCACAGAAAAUCUUUAA
rnacentral:sRNA from 1 species